GAUGAACGCUGGCGGCGUGCCUAAUACAUGCAAGUCGAGCGAACGGACGAGAAGCUUGCUUCUCUGAUGUUAGCGGCGGACGGGUGAGUAACACGUGGAUAACCUACCUAUAAGACUGGGAUAACUUCGGGAAACCGUCGCUAAUACCGGAUAAUAUUUUGAACCGCAUGGUUCAAAAGUGAAAGACGGUCUUGCUGUCACUUAUAGAUGGAUCCGCGCUGGAUUAGCUAGUUGGUAAGGUAACGGCUUACCAAGGCAACGAUGCAUAGCCGACCUGAGAGGGUGAUCGGCCACACUGGAACUGAGACACGGUCCAGACUCCUACGGGAGGCAGCAGUAGGGAAUCUUCCGCAAUGGGCGAAAGCCUGACGGAGCAACGCCGCGUGAGUGAUGAAGGUCUUCGGAUCGUAAAACUCUGUUAUUAGGGAAGAACAUAUGUGUAAGUAACUGUGCACAUCUCGACGGUACCUAAUCAGAAAGCCACGGCUAACUACGUG
rnacentral:rRNA from 1 species